UACGUAGGGUGCGAGCGUUGUCCGGAAUUAUUGGGCGUAAAGAGCGUGUAGGCGGCUUGGUAGGUCUUGCGUCAAAACCUGAGGCUCAACCUCAGUUCGCGUGGGAAACCACCUAGCUAGAGUCCGGAAGAGGAGAACGGAAUUCCCAGUGUAGCGGUGAAAUGCGCCAGAUAUUGGGAAGAACACCAGUGGCGAAGGCGGUUCUCUGGGACGGUACUGACGCUGAGACGGCGAAAGCGUGGGGAGCGAACAGG
rnacentral:rRNA from 1 species